rnacentral:lncRNA from 1 species
UCCUCCAGUGGUCUAGCCUCACUUUAGCGCAUGUAGAUCAAGCACUGCCAUGUAUACUGCCAUGAGCGUCAACAAUUGUUGCUAUCCUUUUGAUUGCUCGCAACCAUGGCCAUUUCUUUACGUAUUAAUUGUAAUAUAUACUUGGAUCGAUAUUGCUGCUGUUUUUGUUUCAAGACUAGCUUGGAGGAUAACUAAUUUGGGUAGAAAGAAAAAAAACAUGUAAAUUACAUGUAGGUGGGUUGGAUACAGUAGCUAGUUGGAGGCAACUAUUAUUGAGUUUGUUUAGUACGUUCUGAAAGUACAAUC